GUCACGUACCCUAUCGCCUUGAAGGCGAUGGGCUUGUGCAGAACGAAGCCCUGGACGUGAGCAGCCCCCCAGGCAUGCCUGGGAGCAGUUUGGCGCGAAUGCGAAUAGGCACGCCGCAAUGACGGUCCAGUUGCGGCCGCUGCGGUCAACGAUUAAACAGACGGGCAGGGUGCGAGUCAGUGUUGUUGGCACAUCAAGGAAACCGCGCACAAACAGGGGCGAGGACAACUUUAC
rfam:Ktedonobacter sp. 13_2_20CM_53_11 13_2_20cm_scaffold_7141, whole genome shotgun sequence.